GUGAACGCUGGCGGUAGGCCUAACCCAUGCCAGUCGAACGGCAGCACCGUAAGAGCUUGCUCUUCCGGGUGGCGAGUGGCGGACGGGUGAGGAAUACAUCGGAAUCUACUUUUUCGUGGGGGAUAACGUAGGGAAACUUACGCUAAUACCGCAUACGACCUACGGGUGAAAGCAGGGGAUCUUCGGACCUUGCGCGAUUGAAUGAGCCGAUGUCGGAUUAGCUAGUUGGCGGGGUAAAGGCCCACCAAGGCGACGAUCCGUAGCUGGUCUGAGAGGAUGAUCAGCCACACUGGAACUGAGACACGGUCCAGACUCCUACGGGAGGCAGCAGUGGGGAAUAUUGGACAAUGGGCGCAAGCCUGAUCCAGCCAUACCGCGUGGGUGAAGAAGGCCUUCGGGUUGUAAAGCCCUUUUGUUGGGAAAGAAAAGCAGCAGGUUAAUACCCCGCUGUUCUGACGGUACCCAAAGAAUAAGCACCGGCUAACUUCGUG
rnacentral:rRNA from 1 species